GAGUGGUACCGAUUUUAUUGGGCCUAAAGCGUCCGUAGCCGGAUUGGCAAGUCCCUUGUGAAAUCGGGCGGCUUAACCGCUCGGCUUGCAAGGGAAACUGUCAGUCUUGGGACUGGUAGGCGCCUAGGGUACUCCAGGGGUAGCGGUGAAAUGCUAUAAUCCCUGGGGGACCGCCAGUGGCGAAAGCGCUCGGCGAUGCCGGAUCCGACGGUGAGGGACGAAAGCCAGGGGAGCAAACCGGAUUAGAUACCCGGGUAGUCCUGGCCGCAAAGGAUGUGGGCUAGGUGCUUGGCGUUCCUCGAGAACGUCAGGUGCCGAAGGGAAGCCGUUAAGCCCACCGCCUGGGAAGUACGGCCGCAAGGCUGAAACUUAAAGAAAUUGGCGGGGGAGCACCACAAGGGGUGGAGCCUGCGGUUUAAUUGGAUUCAACGCCGGACAUCUCACCGGGGGCGACGGCAGAGUGAAGGCCAAGCUGACGACUUUGCCGGACUCGCCGAGGGGUGGUGCAUGGCCGCCGUCAGCUCGUGUUGUGAAAUGUCCUGUCAAGUCAGGCAACGAGCGAGACCCUCACUCUUAGUUGCCAUCGGAUCUUUUGGAUGCCGGGCACUCUAAGAGGACCGCUGGCGAUAAGCCAGAGGAAGGAGAGGGCGACGGUAGGUCCGUAUGCCCCGAAUCCCCCGGGCAACACGCGGGCUACAAUGCGCAGGACAGAGGGUUGCAACCCCGAAAGGGGAAGCCGAUCCCUAAACCUGCGCUUAGUUCGGAUCGAGGGCUGUAACCCGCCCUCGUGAAGCCGGAAUCCCUAGUAACUGCGUGUCAUUAUCGCGCGGUG
rnacentral:rRNA from 1 species